rnacentral:lncRNA from 13 species
UGCAUUUCAUCCCUUUGGCCUAAGGCCCAGAUGCAAAUAAAGCUAAUGAAGAAAGUAAUAAGUAAACCUUGUAAGUCAUUCAUUCUUCUCUGUGGAUAAGGUUCCAGGUGACUUAAGAUUAAUCAAAAGAAGAAGAUCCUGAGUGGGCCUGACUCAGUCAUUGAAAGUCCUUUAGAAGAGGGCUGAAGGUUUUCCUGGGGUCAUCCUUCCUGCUGGCCUUGAAGAUGCAAGGCACUGUACGUUCUACAGCUGCAAGGAAAUGAAUUCCACCAGGGAGCUGGAAGAAGCACAUUCAUCUCCAGUGGAUCCUCCAGAUGGGAAUUGCAACCAGGCCAACACGUUGAUUACAGCUUUGCGACACCCUGAGCAGAGGACCCUGCUAAGAUGUGCCUGGACUCCUGACCCAUUGAAACUUUGAACUGCUUUGCCCAGCUUGGAAUUAUUCAUAAAUUCUUGAUUAGCUUCUGAGAAGACAGUUAAAGAGCAGCAGCAAGACGGAUGGGGAAAGACAGGACAAGACCACCUUCAAGUGUGGAGAACGUCCACGGUUCGAACCCUGCAGCAGAGUAACAUUUGCAAGCAAACCAUUCAAAAAACACGAAUCAGAGAUGAUGGCUAGAGCAGCACAUGUACUUGAUUCAAACAUUUCUUUAGUGGUUUUAAAAACAAAGUUCGCUUUCUGGUUGGAGAACACGCCACAGCUGUGACUCAAUUCUGACUCAGAGCUUCCUGACCAGCCGACUUUUAGGAGAGGAAAAACAGUUCAGGCGGGUGACUGUGGAGUCACACGGAUUUGGUUUCCAGAAACCUGAUUCAAGCAGCCUUCUUCCACCAUGGAAAAUGUGACUUCUUUUCCUGUGACAUAGUUUCCUUGUUUACUGUCAUUUUUUAAAAAGUAAAUUCCUUUCGGAGGAAUUUCAGGAAGUUUCAGAGUUGAGCAAAGUGUGUUCCCUGUGUCUCCAUCCCACAUCCGUAAAAUGAUGAGGAUUCAAUAAUCUAGUCAUGAGGUUCUCGGAACCGUACCUGGGAUUAAACAACUGCUCAACCGAUGUUUGCCAUUAUUAGUAUUUUACUAAAAAGCUUGCCAAGGUCUCUUUCUGGUCUCCAUUUCCCGUACCCUCCAAACUGCAG